CACAGGACUCCGGGGCAGGUGCACGGGUGGGCUGAUGAGCCGCCCGUACUGGCCCUCGCGCCGGCCGUCGCUCUGUAGUCUCAAGAAGUUCUUGUCAUCUGGGGGGAGACACAUCCAAACACAGCCGAUCUCUCUGCUACCACUAUUAAUGCUAAUAAUUACAACUCAAAAUUGCACUCGGCCGCCUCACAGGUGACAAAGCACACUGUCCACGUAUAUCAUCGCGCUACUCGGGGAAAUUUGGUUUCAUGAAUGAGUAAAUGAGUGAAUGACAAACAUGCAGAGGAAAAAAAAAAGAACGCUCUGUAAGGAGGAGAGAGGGAGAGUCUGCUAGCCUCUGCCAAGCCUUCAGAUUCAUGUAAUCCCUACGCCAUCGCCUCUGGUUUCCUGAGCCAGCAGCCCCCCUUCAAAGGACCCCGGCAAGAACCGAGUUAAUGCUGGUGGCGUGCUAAGCGCAAGCAGCUAAGGAUCAUAAUUCAGCGCUGACAUCUGAGCUAAUCCACGAGUUUGCAGAGUCUCCAGACAAGCAGGCCUCUGGAUUUCACUUAGUUAAAUCAUUUGUGCCCCACUUGUCUGUUAAGUGCUGGGAGCCCCGGGGAAGAAAGAUGAUAUGUAAAUGCAAGGAAUUAGCAGGCGACAUCAGUCAGAGGGAUGCUGCGCUGCAAAACAUCCCUGCCUGUCGCCGAGAGAGGCCUGAUUAGAACCAGGGACACCAGGAAGGGAAAGACUCGGACCAGGAAAAGCUCAAGGAAUGGGAGAAAUAAAAGCAGAGGAUG